rnacentral:ncRNA from 1 species
CUCCGCCGGCACCUUAUGAGAAAUCAAAGUCUUUGGGUUCCGGGGGGAGUAUAGUCGCAAGGCUGAAACUUAAAGGAAUUGACGGAAGGGCACCACCAGGCGUGGAGCCUGCGGCUUAAUUUGACUCAACACGGGGAAACUUACCAGGUCCAGACAUAGCAAGGAUUGACAGACUGAGAGCUCUUUCUUGAUUCUAUGGGUGGUGG